rnacentral:tRNA from 1 species
GCUGUAAUAGCUCAAUUGGUAGAGCAAUCGCCUUGUAAGCGAUAGGUUGAAGAUUCGAGUUCUUCUUACAGCACCA